rnacentral:rRNA from 1 species
UGUGUAGGUGGCGCCGUAAGUCGGGUGUGAAAUCUCGGGGCUUAACUCCGAAACUGCAUUCGAUACUGCGGUGCUUGAGGACUGGAGAGGAGACUGGAAUUCAUGGUGUAGCAGUGAAAUGCGUAGAGAUCAUGAGGAAGACCAGUGGCGAAGGCGGGUCUCUGGACAGUUCCUGACACUGAGACACGAAGGCCAGGGAGCAAACG